GACGAACGCUGGCGGCGUGCUUAACACAUGCAAGUCGAACGGAAAGGCCCUGCUUUUGUGGGGUGCUCGAGUGGCGAACGGGUGAGUAACACGUGAGUAACCUGCCCUUGACUUUGGGAUAACUUCAGGAAACUGGGGCUAAUACCGGAUAGGAGCUCCUGCUGCAUGGUGGGGGUUGGAAAGUUUCGGCGGUUGGGGAUGGACUCGCGGCUUAUCAGCUUGUUGGUGGGGUAGUGGCUUACCAAGGCUUUGACGGGUAGCCGGCCUGAGAGGGUGACCGGCCACAUUGGGACUGAGAUACGGCCCAGACUCCUACGGGAGGCAGCAGUGGGGAAUAUUGCACAAUGGGCGGAAGCCUGAUGCAGCAACGCCGCGUGCGGGAUGGCGGCCUUCGGGUUGUAAACCGCUUUCGCCUGUGACGAAGCGUGAGUGACGGUAAUGGGUAAAGAAGCACCGGCUAACUACGUGCCAGCAGCCGCGGUGAUACGUAGGGUGCGAGCGUUGUCCGGAUUUAUUGGGCGUAAAGGGCUCGUAGGUGGUUGAUCGCGUCGGAAGUGUAAUCUUGGGGCUUAACCCUGAGCGUGCUUUCGAUACGGGUUGACUUGAGGAAGGUAGGGGAGAAUGGAAUUCCUGGUGGAGCGGUGGAAUGCGCAGAUAUCAGGAGGAACACCAGUGGCGAAGGCGGUUCUCUGGGCCUUUCCUGACGCUGAGGAGCGAAAGCGUGGGGAGCGAACAGGCUUAGAUACCCUGGUAGUCCACGCUGUAAACGGUGGGUACUAGGUGUGGGGUCCAUUCCACGGGUUCCGUGCCGUAGCUAACGCUUUAAGUACCCCGCCUGGGGAGUACGGCCGCAAGGCUAAAACUCAAAGGAAUUGACGGGACCCCGCACAAGCGGCGGAGCAUGCGGAUUAAUUCGAUGCAACGCGUAGAACCUUACCUGGGUUUGACAUGGAUCGGGAGUGCUCAGAGAUGGGUGUGCCUCUUUUGGGGUCGGUUCACAGGUGGUGCAUGGCUGUCGUCAGCUCGUGUCGUGAGAUGUUGGGUUAAGUCCCGCAACGAGCGCAACCCUUGUUCACUGUUGCCAGCACGUUAUGGUGGGGACUCAGUGGAGACCGCCGGGGUCAACUCGGAGGAAGGUGGGGAUGACGUCAAGUCAUCAUGCCCCUUAUGUCCAGGGCUUCACGCAUGCUACAAUGGCUGGUACAGAGAGUGGCGAGCCUGUGAGGGUGAGCGAAUCUCGGAAAGCCGGUCUCAGUUCGGAUUGGGGUCUGCAACUCGACCUCAUGAAGUCGGAGUCGCUAGUAAUCGCAGAUCAGCAACGCUGCGGUGAAUACGUUCCCGGG
rnacentral:rRNA from 1 species